rnacentral:lncRNA from 1 species
CGGCGAGGUGGGGCCGAAGGCGGGAGCUGCGUGGGGCCCGGCCCAGGUGGGCGAGAGCGCGUCGAGGGCCCUGAGCGGCGCGGCUUUCCUUCCCUUCCCCUCGGACGCGGAGGCCCUUCCCGCACCGCGGCGGUUGAAUCGGUAAUAUCUGUCGUGCUCUGACAGAAACAAGCAUUCCCAUCAGGUGUUGGGUGGGGAAUGGAAAGCAGGGAGUGGCCGGCUGCCAGAGGGCUGUGAUGCCUGCUGGGGGCUCAGGAUGCCAUCCUGUACUGGUGAAGACCCUGCCCAUGGAAAAGGCCAACGGCAGGUGAUGGAGGAGCAGCACUGUCCUCCCCAGGAGGCUACAACAGGUACAGUUACCUUUGACUGCAAGUACAUCCCUCCCAACACGCAGCUUAUCUAAAAUAACAGGAUCCCUAAGCAGAGCGAUACUUCCAGUGACUGGACAGAGGUCUUCACAGUUUUACUGACUGCUUUGCCACAGCAUACCAUCUCAAAGGCAUGUUCUAUGCAUUCUUUUUUUCCUGUACACUUGUAAAACACUUAGUUUGACUUACAUGUGGAGUCACUCAGGCAAAUAAAAAGCAAAAAUAUCACCUUAACCCUUCACAUUAUGUGAAUUUUGUCUUUGCAGUUCCAAUUCUAUAUCUUUCUGUGUAGCUGUAGUCCUCACCAACUGUGGGAAAUCUCUGGUCUAGUUCACUCAACCUGCUGGAAGAAAUAUAGCUGCAUGCCUUUGUGUUCCCCAAUCUAUGUAUAAUCUGUCCCUGAGGAUUUUUUGGCAGGCUGCCUGUGUAGGUCUUCUACAGACAUGCGCUUUAUAAUACAUUAAAGAACUUCAUCAAGCUUCAAAUUGCUAGUUAAAAUUGGGCCUAUGAGUUCCACCCCACCCCAUGGACACACAUACUGCCUCUGCAGCCAUGUAUUGCCCUCCUUGAUUGCUGCUGCUACCUCAGAGGCAAAGACAUGAACUAUUUGUGAUCUGCUUGGCACUGCUGCUGUUUUCAGCUGGGUAUGCAAAAGUAAACCAAACCUUUUCAUGAGCAGAUCAUGAGUUCCUGUUUCAGAGGCAGUGUGCUAGGACUGGAGUUGGCAAGAGCUUGUGCUACAUGGCUACCUGUCUUCAUCUGCCUGAUGCCAUUCUAAAACUAUUAAAUAUUGGCUUUGUUAGUUUCCUGACUUUGCAAACUACAAAUAGAUAUCUGAAAAAUGCUUUGGAGAAACUCCUUCUAAUGCAAUAUGAACGUAGUGACUAAGCCUCUGAAAAGAUCUACAGGUAUGUCCAAAUUGGAUGGUUUCUAGGGCUAAGCCUGUCUGAUUUAGGAAAGGCCAUGGAAAAGUCAUUGGUUCAGUGGGAAAGACUUACUCGAGAGUAGUGUUUGAAUGAUAUGGGUCUUGGAAAAGAAUUCCAUUUUGAUAGUGGUCAGUAUUAACUCAAAUAUGUGCCGUGGUUUGUAAGAAAUAAAUUCUAGGUCAUCUUAAGUAAUCUGUUGUUUUAGUCUUCUGUUUCCCUUUCAUGGCAUUGUAGGCAAACUUAUUUUGACUUGAUUUAUGACCCAACUGCACUUGCCUUCUAAAAGCUCUACAAAUCUGAGACUUAGUCUUUGUAAUGUUUGUAAGGCUGUGGUACAGGAGCUCUCUGUUUGCCAGUGUCCAGAAUGCAAUA